rnacentral:rRNA from 1 species
CUACGGGGUGCAGCAGUCGAGAAUCUUCCCCAAUGGGCGAAAGCCUGAGGGAGCGACGCCGCGUGAGGGAUGACGGUCUUCGGAUUGUAAACCUCUGUCAGGGAAGAUGAAAUUCCUUUUAGGAAUUGACAGUACUCCCAGAGGAAGCCACGGCUAACUCCGUGCCAGCGGCCGCGGUAAUACGGAGGUGGCAAGCGUUGCUCGGAUUUACUGGGCGUAAAGGGUGCGUAGGCGUCCCAUUAGGUUUCAGGUGAAAGUCCAUGGCUCAACUAUGGAAUUGCCUGAAAAACCGUUGGGAUUGAGGCCGGAAGAGGAAGGUGGAAUUCCUAGUGUAGCGGUGAAAUGUGUGGAUAUUAGGAAGAACACCAGUGGCGAAGGCGGCCUUCUGGGCCGGUUCUGACGCUGAGGCACGAAAGCUAGGGGAGCGAACAGGAUUAGAUACCCUUGUAGUC